GAAUUUUUCGCAAUGGGGGAAACCCUGACGAAGCAACGCCGCGUGGAGGAUGAAGGCCUUCGGGUCGUAAACUCCUGUCGAUCGGGACGAACGUGGUCGGGUCCAAUACACCCGGCUAUCGACUGUACCGGUCAAGGAAGCUCCGGCUAACUCUGUGCCAGCAGCCGCGGUAAUACAGAGGGAGCAAGCGUUGUUCGGAAUUACUGGGCGUAAAGGGCGCGUAGGCGGUUCGAUAAGUCCCGUGUGAAAUCCCUCGGCUCAACUGAGGAAUGGCACGGGAAACUGACGGGCUUGAGUUCGGGAGAGGGAAGCGGAAUUCCGGGUGUAGCGGUGAAAUGCGUAGAUAUCCGGAGGAACACCGGUGGCGAAGGCGGCUUCCUGGACCGACACUGACGCUGAGGCGCGAAAGCUAGGGGAGCAAACGGG
rnacentral:rRNA from 1 species